CAUCCCUGUGCCCCUGGGGCCACGUCUGCUCUCUGGGACUCCCACUUGCCUCCCUCUGGGGCUGUAGGAUGCCUGAAGAAAGGGACUUGCCUGCCCAUGUGAUCGCUGGGCUAUGGUGUGUAUUGCCCAGGGACAGGUGGAUUCACAGAGUAUAAAGAGACGCUGCAGGGUAAGAAAAGCAGGGUUGUCCUGUUUUCAACUGUGGCAGUUGAUUGUCUUGUGCCUUGAAGGAUUGCUUGUGCAUUUGCUGUCAUGGCUGACCGUUUCAGUUGAAAGGCAUCAGAUUGUGAACUUCUCUCCUCCUCCUUACUCCUGCUUUAUGUAGGCUGGUGGAGCAUGCUGUGCCUUGCUGCCCUGGUAGAUGACUGCAAUAGAGACACGAGAGAAACAGUACGUAUAUCUGUACUUAAGUCCCUCUGCCUUCCCCUCCUUACCGGAAUGGAUUUUUUUUCUUCCUGGCGCUCCCAGUUGUCUUCAUUUCACAGAUUAUCAAAGCAAUACAGCACAGAUGCUUUCUUUAUUAUAAAAAAUGUGGUUAGGUAUGUAAAAUGUCAGUGUGGAUGCUUCCUUUGCCUGUUUGAUUCAGGUUUAAAUCUCAGGCAGGGUAUGUGAUACCAACUUGCCUUGAGUGUAAUAAGGAAGUAAUUACUCAGCUGUUGGGAAAGGUCCUGAUAUCACUGAAGAUAACUGGAAUGUCCAGGCAAUAUCUUGCUAUUAUUUGAAAUAGUGUCAAAAUGUUUUUUUUCCCCCCAAAUCUCACAUUCAAAUCACAUGGAAAUAAUAUGAGUUAUCAUAAAGAGUGAUAUGAGAUAAUUCUAAAUGUCAGUUUAGCAUAUUUUAGCCCACUGGAUCUUUAAACAGAGUUGAGUAACUCUUUCAUGAAGUAAAUGUCUUUUAGGUAAACUGAAAGGGACAAUAAUAUUUAAAGGUCAGUUAACGUGGAGAGUUGAUUCUAGUUAUUGGUGUUAAAGAUACAGCUGUAUUACCUUUACACAACAUUACCCCACAAAUCCUUAUUAAAAUGUUGAGAGCAAACCACGUCUUUCCCUCCCUCCUUCCCUCCUGCCACGACUGCAAGAUCUUUGGUUUGACUUUCUUUUUUUUUUAUGUGUAACAGUUUUCUACCUUACGUUUCAGCCUCCCACAUAUGACAUGAGCCACCCUGCAAACAACUGUUUAAUAGUUUGGAGCUUCUUAGGAAAUGGUAGUUGAUUUCCAUUUUUUAUUUAAAGAAGAAAUUGAAGUGUAUUGUACAACUGUUUCUGCAGUUAAUUGAAAGCAGGCAGUCUGUCUGCCCAUCUAUCUGCCAAUCCAUUCAUGCCCAGUUGGCAUUAAUAGCCUGAAAAAUGCAACGAUUCAUGGGCUCACAAGCACCCCAGCACUACUGUGCCAAGGAUCUGCUGGCAGGGUGUCCCAGUGCCAUGGCAUUGCCUAAAAAGGGGGCUGUGGGACUCUGCUUUGGAUUCCCCUGCCCCUAACUCUGUUGCCUUGCCUUAUGCUCAAGUUGCACUCUGCCCAGGUAGGCUGGCCCCUGCCAGCUUAGCCACCUCUUUUUCAGAAGCUGGUGAGUAUGGAAGACGAACAGCUGACUGCUUGGGCAGAAGGUUUGAUCUGUGUUGGAGCGUGUGCCUGGAUGCUGCUCUUUGCUGAACUCUGUCUUCUUGUUACGAGCCGGUCCUGGGUCAUGAGUGGUGAGUAGUUGGUGCCCUGCAUUCCCUGAUGGGGAAUGCAGUGUGUGGUUGGUGAGAUAGUUUCCAAGGACAGACUGCUGGCUGGCAGAUAUUUUUUCCUACAUCUCCUCAAAAAGAAAAUAUAGUUUCUAUUUACACCAAACCAGAAAGAUAAAGCAGAGCAGGCAAAAUAGUUUUCUGUGAGCUCUGGCUUUGGUGGGGUGUACAAGUGCUAUUUUGUCAUCACUUGCUACUUGUAGAAGCCAAGGUUUGGUAAGCAGUGCUAUUUGAGGUGGGCUAUUUAAGGAGGAAGCAAUUUCAACAUAACAGCACUGCCUAAAAACUUCAUACUUUGUGUUGUGUUGUACUUUAAGAAAAUGAAUUUGUUGUUUGUUGCCAUUGGGUAGGUACUGUUAAGGAGUGGAGCAAAAUGCUUGUAUCUCACCAGGAGAGAGAGUGCUGCCUCAGAACUGGACCCAUGGGCAUGGCCAGCACCCAGCCCUGCUCAUGGGCCUUCUGGUGUGAGCUGGGAGCACAGCGGGCCCUCGGUGCCCUGUGUGGGCUGGGCACUGGUGAGAGCAGGCAGUGGGUGGGUGGCAUGGUGCACACUGGGAGCUGAAGGGUCUCACUACUCCUUCUUCCUGGUAAGUGAUCUGCCCCCUGCCCUCUAGAUGUGAGGAAGAAAAUGAGAAUAAAGAGUUGAAAUGCUUUUAUUUGUGAAACACUAACUUUCUGUAAUAUAUAUUCAAAAGCAGAUACUCAUUUAAAGGUUAUAUUUAAUAUAGUGCCGCAACAGUUUUUCUAUUUUAUUAUUAUUUUCUUAUACAUCUUUCCACUUUCUGAGGCAAUGCUCCAGUGACUACUGCAAUAUAAUAGCUGCUUUCUCUCUCAGUACACAAUUUGACAGCAUUUAUUCUUUCCUUCAGUGAACAUAAUUACUUCACAUAUGGAACCUGUGAUAGCCUACAGGCAUCUGAGAGAAACCAGAAUCAUACAAUCUGUCCCCUUUGUGAGCUUAAUUUACAUUCACAAGUGUCAUUUUAAUAGUGCUGGCAACAUGUAGGAUAAAAAUUACAGGUCAGCCGCAGCAUGUCACGGGGAACUGUGCUUAAGUCAAUAACAUGGUAUUAUUACAUUCUGGAUAAUUUUACAAGGUAGAUCUCACAGGAGGAAUUUGACCCCUAUUUCUUUAGUUUUCUGCCUUUUUGUUUCCUCCAUAAAGUAAUUCAUUUAGAAAUGGAUGUUGCAGAGCUGCAAACAUGUUGACGUGGAGGUUAGUCAGUAGUAGGCAUUUCCAAAUCUGAAAGCAACACCUUUCCCUUGCAGUAACUUCUCGCAGCAGUUACACCACGCAUCUGGCAUAUUUUAAAUUAUAUACUGUUAAUUACUAUUAUUAUGUUGAUCUAUAUAAUAAAAAUACCAAGGGUCAUAGUCUUCUGCCUUUCAAUUUCAUACAGUUAGUAGAAGUUUUGGUUUUCUGCAUUGGGUUAGUUUCUAGCCAAGUUGUGCAGCAUCAGACUAGGCAUUUUACAGACAUUUUACUGGAGAAAAACAGCAAGCGUCACAGAGACAUGUUGUGUACAGAGCUAUGUAGAACACCUUAUUUCAAUUGUAUUUUUUAUAAUGUCUGAAAAUAAUAUCUAAUUACUCAUCAUGGCGUCUGUAAUAUAAAUAGAGAUGUGAUAAGCAAUCUAGUAGUGCAACAACUGAUUGUUUUUGGUUAAAAAAAAAUCAGUUUGUGUAUAGAGCCAAAUCCAAAUCAAUCUCAAUUAUCAUUACUGAAUUUUUUUUCUUAAAAACAGAAAAACCAACAAAACAAAAAUCAGCAAACAUACAUUACUGCAGUUUAAAUACAUUUUCAAUUUGUUUAGAGGAAUUGCUCAAAGACUUGCAUAGUAUGACUAUAGUAGUCUGAUAUACAGAAAGUCCAUGUAUGUACAGACAGGGAAAAUACAUUUCCAGAUGCAUCCCUAUGUGCAGGCGUACCCACACAUGCUCACUCUCUGAGUCAUGCAUUCAUUCUCUCUCCCUGAAGCCUGCAUCCUUUUCUUGCUGUAAGCAUUUUUACUCACUCAAGAAACAUGGGGGAAAAACGAUCUUUUAUUUAAUUAUGCGUUUUUAUAUCAUCAACAGUGAUGGAAUACUGAGCACAGAACCCUAUUUCUAAUUAAAAGCCAAACAAAUGAAAAACUCAAAAUAGUUUAUUCCUUUGAAGAGGCUAGAAAGAUGGUACUCGGAUGUUCAUCUACUAAAAAGUGUGACAAACCACCAGCAAGGAAUUGGAAUGACCUCCAUUGUAUUUUCUUGGUGAGCUGUCUGCUGAAGUAUUCUGCCCAGGAAAAAGCUGGUCAAACAUUCAAGUAGGUUCAAAAGAUUGGAAUAAAUGGUGUGAGAUCUGAUAAAUAUUUUUCUGCAGUGAGAGCCAGGUCAGUCUAUUAACUUGACUAUGUAAGUGCGUAUGUACAGCUACCUUGUCCUCCUUCUCCUUUGGAUUCUCUCUUCUCUCCCAUCUGACUUUACGGGUUAUUACUUGUUUGAUCAACGGUCACCAUAUCUAGUUUUCCUAUUUUGGAAAGGAAAAAAAUGAAAAGGUUUACAGAUGAGAUUUUACAAACAGGAGAAAACCAACUAUGAGGCUCUGUCUGUGGUGGUGAUAUGCUGGCCUGUGGGCAUCAUCUGUUGCUGCUUCUUUAGCAAAGUGAGUUGAUCAUUAUGGUUCUGCUGCCAGCACAGACCCCCUCUCGCAUUAAGAGGGCCAUGUGCUGGACUGGGCAUGCAGAAUCCAGUGGGGUUUGCCAGGCAGUUCUGCCCUGUUGCCUGCUCUGCCUAUUGUGACAAGCAUGAAAGCUGUGAUUAGAACGGGUGGUCAUUCAUAUUGUAUUUUUUGAGAGAUGGAUCAAGAAAAAAUCUACAGAUUAUGCAUAUGCCAUUUUAAUUUAUCAGAGUGGAUGAGGCUGAAUAGACGCUGAAGUUAAUAUACUUUUUAAAAAGAUGAAGUUCUUUUUUCUCCAAAACUGACAUGCAGUCUUAUUUCCUUUAGUUCUCCUCCUCCAAAAACAGAAACAACAAAAAACCCAACCCUGCCAAGAUCUUGCCUCUGAUUUGUUCAUAAAUAUAAUAUCAAACACCUCUUCUCUGCCUCUGAUGUACAUUAGAGAGUCCACGUGCCACUGUGCUGAUUCAUCUGGAGGAUGCCCUGCCUGCAAGUGGCUCUGCACAGUGUGGGACAGGAGAGGAAUCUGAUAGCAAGAACGGCAGAGGUGACAGCAUAAUAAUGAAGGAUUUUUUCCCCUCACACCACUUCUUGUUAUUUAUUCUUCUCUCCAUGUUCCCCUUGGUUAUUUCUUUUCCUGAAAUGAAAAUAACCCAGCAAGAAAGCAAUGUUUCCACUCCCAUCAUUAUUUUAGGCAAGAAACACUAGGCAUGCUUUUUUUUCUUUAUUUAAAGUGCAAACUGAUAGUUGAUUAUUCACCAGUGUUUUUUUGGAGAAAUAAGGCUUGUUAACUGUGGUGCCAUUGUUAAUGAUACGAUGAUAACCCUGUGUCAUCACUGCUUGAUUUAUCAAUGUCUAAAGGAUUAUUUUGCUGAAAAACUUACUAUGGCUCUUUUGUUUUGGAGCUGACUUUGUAUAUGAAUGAACUUAUGUGUGAAUUUGUAUGAAAAUAAGGAAUGCAACUGGUAAGAUGCUUCCGCUUUUUUGAGAUUUUGACUGCGUUAUAACAUAGAAACUGUAGCCUUGAUGUUCUGUGCUUUAAAGCAGCGUGCUUCAAAGAGGAGUGUUGUAAUUAAGAGCAGUUCAGCUACAAACAUCCUACGCCUUGCAUCUAUUUACUCCCUUACAGGUUUCUGAUUCACUUAUCUCAUCUCCAUGCUUCUUUCUGCAGUGCUGUUCCUGGCAGACUUCCCUUCCCAACACAGAUGUGUGCUGCGAUCCCCAGUCUGCUGCCCAGCACCCUGCAACCCUUUGCUGCUUCCCAAGAGACCGUGACAUGAAGCUAACCAUGGACUUGCUGUCACUUGCACUGUACUCAUAAAUGGUGAUGUUUGCAGCAACGUGCCACCAGUGCCACAUCUUAUCCCCUUCUACCUAAGUCUUCUGGUCUGGUGAAUGUUCCCAGGAAGCAGAGCAACACGGUGAAACUGAAAUCAUUAUGUUGACUGAAUUUGUUACUGCUGGACUCGCCCCACCAUGAAAUAGCACUGUGCAGCCAAUUGGGAUUCAUGGUCACAGCCCUUUAUUGGAUCAUCAGGGUUUAUAGUCCAUAACAAAUACAAAUACAGAAAGGAACAAUAACAGUUUGAUACAUCUGACCUAUUAUCCCACCUUACCAGACUCUGUCUGUGUCAUGAGUACCAAAAUAGUGACUGGCUGAAUGCUUUCUAAGGGCUUUCUGUUGUACAGACAGAUGGGAGAAUUAUGUAGGAAAUAGAAGCUGAGCCUCCAAACACAGUGCUCUUGGCAUAGUCUUUGGUGACUAAAAACUACCCUUACGCUUGCAGCACGUCGUGAUUUAUGUAAAGUAGGGGUUUGUAGGGAAUCUUGGGAACUUUGCUGGAAGCAUCUGAACACUGCAGAAAUGUUUGGUUUAAGAAAUAACUGAAGAUUGUUCUGUGGAGUACUUCAGAAGAAACCUGAAAUCCCAGCAGAUCGUCCCUCUUGAAACAGCAAGUAUGACUGACUGCCUGCCACCAAAAUGCAAGAGCAAACUCAAGCAUAAAAACAUACAGUUGGCACAACCUUUGUUUGCAAGUCAGCCACCCUCUACUGCACGACUUGGCUGAUCUUUACAUAUUUUGUGUCAAUCUAUCAUUUCACCUUCUCUAGAGCUAUCACUGAGAGACCAAACAUUUUUUUUUUAUUAUUAUUUUUUUUUUAAUUAGGCUUUUCUAGCAGAGUUGAGAUUUAAAAGAAAGCAAAGCAGGAAUUUGGGUGUGGACAAGCUUGGCGAAUCCUUGAGAAAUGUGUUUUUGCUGAUAACUGUGUGGAAUUGCUCCUAGGAGAGCUGUAUAUAAAAGAUUUUUAUAGUACCUUUGAGCAGACCUGAUUUUUGGGUCAAGGUUUGACCCAUAAUAGACAAUAUAAACAAUUUAUACAAUCAUACUUAGAGCUUUAAGGCAGUGGAGUACAGGUUGCAAUUUAAGUGUACUGUAGAACAGCAGCACCAGGACAGGAAAGCAUGUGAAAGUAAUUCUGCAUAUUCAGAAGCUGAAACACAGAUUUUUGGGUUCUGAAUGUUUGCAUGCAUGUGACCACUUUGAUUCACAUUCAGGUUUAUGCUAAAAAAUUCUCAGAUCAGAUCAGCAUUGUUAGGGUAAAGUAGAACAAUUUCCAAUAAUUUGGAAACUGACCUUUCAGUGUAUUUGAAAAUGACAUUGUAGGACAAGAACAUAAAAAUCUUCAUGUCUUCCUGUGUCUUGGGUGCCCCAUAGUUCUCACAGAGGCAGGAGCAUUUUUUUCCAUACCCUUUUCCCCCCAUUUAGCUCCUAGGUACUUAGACAAAAUUGAGUAAAGAAGCCUUUACCUAAGAACCUUUUUACUGGUUGCCAUGCUUUUAAAGCUUUAAAAGCUUUUGCUGAAAAGGUGCCUAUUUUCUUAUCACUUUUUUUUCCCCUCCAGAAAAAGGGCAUCAUUUGAAGUUCUUUUUUGGCAGCUGUAUUUCAUCACGAUACAUUAUGUCAGGGCACAUCAGUCACAUGAAGAUUUUAUGGGGAAAAAAACAUAUCCUUUUAGAUGCCCCUCUCUGCAGCCCCCUUAAAACAGUGUUUUUUCAAGAAACUCUUCAACUAUCAACAGCAUUAUGAUACUUGAAACAUCAUGGGUGUAAUGGCUUCAUCUUACUCAAUUAUAUAAAUGCUACUUAAAGAAGGAAUAUAGAAUUUUACAUGGAGAAUUUAGUCAUUCAAAAAAAGAAAAAAAAAAGACCAUUUUCAUCUUUUACUGGUGUUUACUUUUCAAUGCUGGGGAAGGGCUCCUCCUGUUCCUGUGCCGUUCCUUAUUUUACCAUAAAAUGAAAAACAUUCUGAAUUCAAAUGAAAAUGAGGUACCUUGAUGAAAGUGGGCUUCAGGUGUUGCACACUAAGCAUUGUACAUUUCUGUUUGCUCUGAUCCUCCAGCACACAUAAGAUUUCACCUCUUCACCUUUGAACAAGAUUGCACUAACUUUGAUCUUUUCAAUUUUGUUCAACUCCAGGGAAGGAGCAGCUACUUGAAACAUGUUAUCAUUUAGAUGUUCAGAGUUUCUUUAAAAAAAAAGAAAGAAAAAAAGAAAAAAAAAGAAAGCUGUACCAUGAACUAAAAGCUGUAGAUUUUUAACUUGAGUAGCAGCUUUUGUAGCCGGCAUGCUAUGCUUUAACAUCAAAAGCUAUCUCUAUAUGUAGAACAAAACCAAACAAAAUGCAGAUUUUGAAAGCACUCGGAAUUAUUAAACAUGAAUUUCAUUUUA